GCCUAGCUGGCCCAGUCAGUAGAGCAUGUGACUCCUGACCUUAGGGUUGUGAGUUCAAGCCCCAUGUUGGGUA
rnacentral:tRNA from 1 species